CAGUAGCCGCGGUAAUACGGAGGGUGCAAGCGUUAUCCGGAUUUAUUGUGUUUAAAGGGUCCGUAGGCGGACUUAUAAGUCAGUGGUGAAAGCCUGUCGCUUAACGAUAGAACUGCCAUUGAUACUGUAAGUCUUGAGUAUAUUUGAGGUAGCUGGAAUAAGUAGUGUAGCGGUGAAAUGCAUAGAUAUUACUUAGAACACCAAUUGCGAAGGCAGGUUACCAAGAUAUAACUGACGCUGAGGGACGAAAGCGUGGGUAGCGAACAGGAUUAGAUACCCGCGUAGUCCCUGUCUCUUAUAC
rnacentral:rRNA from 1 species